CGGGAUGUGGCUUAGUCCGGUAAAGCGCUUGGUUUGGGUCCAAGAGAUCGCAAGUUCGAAUCUUGCCAUCCCGA
rnacentral:tRNA from 1 species